rnacentral:rRNA from 1 species
UCUGGUAAUGAUGGCAGAGAGGUCACACCCGUUCCCACACCGAACACGGAAGUUAAGCUCUCUAGCGCCGAUGGUAGUUGGGACCUUGUCCCUGUGAGAGUAGGACGUUGCCAGGC